UACAGAGGGGGCAAGCGUUGUUCGGAAUUACUGGGCGUAAAGAGCUCGUAGGCGGCUUGUCACGUCGGGUGUGAAAGCCCGGGGCUUAACCCCGAGCCUGCAGUGGAUACGGGCAGACUAGAGGUAGGUAGGGGAGAAUGGAAUUCCCGGUGUAGCGGUGAAAUGCGCAGAUAUCUGGAGGAACACCGGUGGCGAAGGCGGCAUCCUGGACCAACACUGACACUGAGGAGCGAAAGCCAGGGGAGCAAACGGG
rnacentral:rRNA from 1 species